CUUACACAUGCAGUCGAGGGGUACGUGAAGCAAGCUUGCUUGCUUUGACGACGACCGGCGCACGGGUGAGUAACGCGUAUCCAACCUGCCCCUUACUACGGGACAGCCCGGCGAAAGUCGGAUUAAUACCGUAUGUGGUGUGAAGAGGGCAUCUGACUUACACUAAAGAUUCGUCGGUAAGGGAUGGGGAUGCGUCCGAUUAGGUUGUCGGCGGGGUAACGGCCCACCGAGCCUUCGAUCGGUAGGGGUUCUGAGAGGAAGGUCCCCCACACUGGAACUGAGACACGGUCCAGACUCCUACGGGAGGCAGCAGUGAGGAAUAUUGGUCAAUGGGCGAGAGCCUGAACCAGCCAAGUAGCGUGAGGGAAGACUGCCCUAUGGGUUGUAAACCUCUUUAGUCUGGGAAUAAAGUUGGCGACGUGUCGCCUUUUGUAGGUACCAGAAGAAUAAGGACCGGCUAAUUCCGUGCCAGCAGCCGCGGUAAUACGGAACGGUCCGGGCGUUAUCCGGAUUUAUUGGAGUUCUAAAGGGAGCGCAGGCGGCCUGUUAAGCGGGCAGUUAAAGGCGGUGGCUCAACCAUCGUUAGCUGUCCGAACUGAUAGGCUUGAGUACGUGCGAGGUAUGCGGAAUUCGUGGUGUAGCGGUGAAAUGCUUAGAUAUCACGAAGAACCCCGAUUGCGAAGGCAGCAUACCAGUGCGCCACUGACGCUAAAGCUCGAAAGCGCGGGUAUCGAACAGGAUUAGAUACCCUGGUAGUCCGCGCGGUAAACGAUGGAUGCCCGCUGUGCGGCCUUUUAUGGUUGCGCGGCCAAGCGAAAGCGUUAAGCAUCCCACCUGGGGAGUACGCCGGCAACGGUGAAACUCAAAGGAAUUGACGGGGGCCCGCACAAGCGGAGGAACAUGUGGUUUAAUUCGAUGAUACGCGAGGAACCUUACCCGGGCUUGAAUUGCAGCUGCAGGGGGCAGAGAUUCCCUUCCGUCGGGCUGCUGUGAAGGUGCUGCAUGGUUGUCGUCAGCUCGUUGCCGUGAGGUGUCGGCGUGUAAGUGCCAGUGAACGAGCGCAACCCCCCGCGUGCCGCCGGUUGCCAUCGGGUAAUGCCGGGCACUCCGAGGACACUGCCACCGCAAGGCUGUCGAGGAACGCGUGGGGAUGACGUCAAAGUCAGCACCGGCCCUUACGUCCGGGGCUACACACGUGGUUACAAUGGCAGGGCACAGAGAGCUGGCGCGUCGCAAGACGCGUCGAAUCCUUAAAUCCUGCCUCAGUUCGGACUGGGGUCAGCAACCCGACCCCACGAAGCUGGAUUCGCUAGUAAUCGCGCAUCAGCCAUGGCGCGGUGAAUACGUUCCCGGGCCUUGUACACACCGCCCGUCAAGCCAUGAAAGCCGGGGGCGCCUGAAGUCCGUGACC
rnacentral:rRNA from 1 species